ensembl:lncRNA novel transcript
ACUGCCAGACCUCAACGCCUCACAAAACUCUCACCCACCUACUGCUUUUAGCUCACAUUCCAGGAAUUCAGAUGAAGUGAAGUGCUCUCAUGGGGACCAGGCAUGGUUAUGCCAGUCCACUGCCCUGCAAGCCUCAAGGGAAGCCAACUGCCCUUCAGCAAGUCACACCUGCCUUGGUGGAGGCCUUGAUUGGAAGUGCCACACGCUACAUGUCCAGUCCUGAGCGGGAGAAUCGGUGUAGGGACGUUCUGGGGAUGCCAGCUGUGGCCAGAUCAGGUCCAACUACAGAAGAAUAAUGAAGACUCCACCUGAGGGCUGGAAAAACAAAACCUCAAGUGUGAGGCAGCCAACCUGUUACCUCGAGGGACUGUUCCGCAGCACAGCGGGGCCAUGGGAACAGCAGCAGACACCCCGACCUCCUCGCUACCUGUGUGUGUAUUAACACGCCGGCCUCCUCGCUACCUAUCAACUAUGGCCUGAGUAUGAUAGACUUAUCCAUGGUUUAAACAGAAUAUAUUGUUUUCAACUUUGAAAAUAAGAAUAUGGAAAUCCAGAUGCAGAAAUGUGAGAAGAAAAGAGAGUAAACAGAGUGGAAGGUCAGGUGACCUUGCCUGUCAUGAAUAUGAAGGUCAAGGUGUGUGAAUUGUGAAAUUUCCAAGAGAACCUCACUGAAGCAAAGAAUGAAGAAAGAAUUGCAUUUGGCCCUGGGAGGGUGCAGGGGUGAAUGGUGCAGGAGCUAAAUCUUUAUCAUACCCAGAAAUCAACAGCCACUAUUUGAAAUCAUCUAAAUUCGUGCUGCUAACCUUCAGUGUACACACGAAUCACCUGGGGAUCUUACUAAAAGCUAGUUUCUGAUUCACUAAAUCUGUGUGUGGUGGAAGUUGAGGGCAGAGAAGCUCCCGAGGGUGUCAAGCUGACUCUGAACCCGACUUUGAGGGUUAAGGUCCCAAAUGGCAUCGCCAGCACCAGGGACAGACACUAAAAUUGUAGAAAUCGUCUCAAGAAAUGAACAGCCUCUAAGUCAGAUGUUGAAUGUGAAAGAAAUCAGGGUGUGUACGUGUGUGUGCAUUUGUGUGUGCACGUGUGUGCCUGUGUUUGUCUCUGUGCAUGUAUGUUUCUAUGUGUGCACAUGUGUGUAUGUGUCUGUACAUGUGUGUUUCUGUGUGUGUGCCUGUGUGUGUAUUGGCUUAGAUCUGUUCGAGACUUUUUAUUUGAUGAGAUCGAUAUAUGCCACCACUUUUGGAAAGGACAACGUAUAUACAAAGACAAUGAUUACUUAUGUAAUGUGAACGGAGUCUCUCUUCGACCCUCAAAUGUUUUGUAGAAAGUAAUGAUGAUGGUGAGGAUUAUAACAAUGCGUGUUUCCUGAAUAACAAAAAGGAGUUACAGUACACUUUUACCUAUUUUUCCAAAGCGCUAGGUCAAGUUUAGCUAAAGUCUGCUUGGAAUUAAUGAGGCUUGGAAAUGUAAAAUCUCAGAGCAGUAAACAUCUCUUUGUCCUAAUGUUCUUAUGUAGCCAUUAAAACUUAAAUAUUAAUACUAAAAUAACUACUGUAAAAUAAAGUAAAAA